rnacentral:rRNA from 1 species
GGCGGCGCGCUUAACACAUGCAAGUCGAGUGCGCGCCUGUAGCAAUACAGGUGGCGCACGGCGCACGGGUGCGUAACACGUGGGUAAUCUGCCCUUCGAUGGGGAAUAACUCGCCGAAAGGCGAGCUAAUUCCGCAUAACAUUCCGAGAACUUUGGUUUUUGGAUUCAAAGGCGUAAGUCGUCGGAGGAGGAGCCCGCGCACGAUUAGCUAGUUGGUGAGGUAAUGGCUCACCAAGGCUAUGAUCGUUAGCUGGUCUGAGAGGAUGGCCAGCCACACUGGAACUGAGACACGGUCCAGACUCCUACGGGAGGCAGCAGUGGGGAAUCUUGCACAAUGGGCGAAAGCCUGAUGCAGCGACGCCGCGUGGGGGAUGAAGCUUUUCGGAGUGUAAACCCCUUUCGACCCGGACGAAUGCCUCGCAAGAGGACUGACGGUACGGGUAUAAGAAGCCCCGGCUAACUACGUGCCAGCAGCCGCGGUAAGACGUAGGGGGCCAGCGUUGCUCGGAAUUACUGGGUGUAAAGGGU